AGUGAACGCUGGCGGUAGGCCUAACACAUGCAAGUCGAACGGCAGCACAGUAAGAGCUUGCUCUUACGGGUGGCGAGUGGCGGACGGGUGAGGAAUACAUCGGAAUCUACUUUUUCGUGGGGGCUCACGUAGGGCAAAUUACGCUAAUACCGCAUACGCCCUACGGGUGAAAGCAGGGGAUCUUCGGCCCUUGCGCGAUUGAAUGAGCCGAUGUCGGAUUAGCUAGUUGGCGGGGUAAAGGCCCACCAAGGCGACGAUCCGUAGCUGGUCUGAGAGGAUGAGCCGCCCUACUGGACCUGAGACUGGGUCUGUACCCGUACGGGUGGCAGCAGUAUGGAAUAUUUGACACUGUGCGCAAGCCUGACCCGAUAAUACCGCGUGUGUAAAGAAGGCCUCCGGGGGGUAAAGCCAUUUGUUUGGGGAGAAAGAGAAGCAGGUUAAGCCCUUGCUGUGCUGACUGUCCCCAGAAAAUAAUCUCCGGCUAACUCCGUG
rnacentral:rRNA from 1 species